GCUAAGAAAUUAAUACACUGAAGUUUCCCAUUUUUACUUCUUUCUCUAAAACCUCUCGAGCUCUCUCUCUCUCUCUCUCUCACACACACACACACACACUACAUUUCUGAAGGUUAAGAUGGUAUCAAUUGCCAUGAAAGCUCCCCUUGAUCUCAAUCCAAGUCUUCCGCCGUUUUGAUUCUUCGAUCGAUCUUUGUCUUCAUUGAUCUUCUUGCUUCUUGUUCGUGGUUCUUGAUCGAAUUCACUUCGUCUGCUCUUUAAUCUAGGGUUUUCUUCAUCCCUAAGGCUUUGCAACUGCGAUUCCGGUUGUGACUUUGUCUUCUACAAUUUGUGCCCUCCAGGUGUUUGGUGCGUGUUCUCAGAGAUAUUUCUGCCAAAUUAUAAAAGUCUUUCACUCGUAAUACAGCAACAAUGGUAACUGCUUCUCAAUUACAGCUCCUUCAAUCACCGAUAACUGUUUUGGUUUCAUCGAUUUCCACAUCUGUGAGUGUUAAACUUGAUGAUUCGAACUAUCUAAAUUGGCAUUUUCAAUUGAAAUUAUUGCUUGAAAGUAAUGGAAUCCUAGGGUUUGUUGAUGGCUCGCAUCCCUGUCCUGCUCAAUUCAUCUCUCAGUCUGGAGAAUCUGAUGUAAAUUCGUCAAAUUCAUCGUCUUCCUCUGUUAAUGAUGAGCAUUUAGUUCGGAUGAUGCAUGAUAAAGCCCUGAUGCAAUUACUUAGUGCAUCUUUAAGUCCUGUGGCAAUGUCAUGUGCUAUGAGGAGUACCAGUUCUAAGGAUAUUUGGAUUCGACUACAAGAACAGUUUUUAACUGUCUCUAAGACCAGCAUUUUCAGAUGAAAUCGAAUUUGCAAACAAUCAAAAAGGGCUCUCAUUCUAUCACUCAGUACUUACAAAAGAUAAAGCAAGCUAGAGAUGAUCUUUCUGCUGCUGGGGUUUACUUUCUUAAUGAAGACAUUGUUAUACUUGCAUUAAAUGGUUUACAAGCAGAGUACAAUACAUUUCAGACUGUGAUAAGGGGGCGUGAAAAUGUCAUUUCUUUGAAGGAAUUUCGAACACAAUUGCUUGCUGAAGAAGCCAUUCUUGAGUCCACUGUUAAUGCACUGUUUAUAGCCAUGAUUGCCAAUACUCCAACUCAGAGAGGGUCUAAUCAAUCCAGUUUUGUCUCUGGUGGAUUCAAGUAGUUUAAUGCCAAUAUGAACAAGGGUAAGGGCAGAUUUAAUCAACAUCCAAGAAGUUUUUCACCUAGACAGUACAUGCCUACUCAAACACAUGUCAUUCAAACUCCAAGUCCUGGUAUACUUGGUUAAUUUUCAAAUUCACAUCAGCAUAUUCCUUCUGCCCCACCUGAGAAGCUAAGAUGUCAAAUCUGUGGGAGAUUCAAUCACAAUACCUGGUUUUGUUUCUACAAUGAGAAGGGUCCCAAUUAUAUUGGUGCUGGAGCUAAUUCGACUUACUCUCCGAUGUCUUCAUAUUCUUAGCAAGGAUAUCAAUACUCUCUGGUUAAUGCCUAUCCACAACAAAAGGCUCAAUCAUAGUUCAUUGGACAAUAGUCUCAAUCAUAGGCUCAAUUGCAUGCCUACCAUACUAUGGCAUCACAACCAAAUCCUUCACAUGCUUCUUCAUCUACUUCACAAGUGUGGAUCACGGAUUCAGGCACAACAAAUUAUACGACUGUAGAUCUCUCAAACUUAUCUUUGGCUUCUCCUUAUCCCACCAAUGAAAUCAUUUAGACUACAAAUGGUGAAGGUUUGCAUGUAUCACACAUUGGUAACAUUGUUAUCAAGCCUUCCAUACAUCCUAUCAAACUGAAUUUUGUAUUAUAUGUGCCCUAAUUAUCACAUAAUCUUUUAUCAGUGCAUAAAAUUUGCUUGGACAAUAACUGUUGGCUUAUAUUUGAUGCCUUAUGUUUUUGGAUCUAGGACAAGGCCACAUGGAGGAUACUCUACAAAGGACUGUGUAGUAAUGGACUUUACUCAAUCUCUUCCCUUGCUAAUACUUGUCCUGCAGCUUCUCAAGGCAUGGUUUCCAAUAAAGCCCUUCUUGGUCAGCUUGUUAACUCCAUUACCUGACACAAUAAACUAGGACAUCUUUCUAAGUCUGUUGUGUAUUUCAUGCUACAUAAAUCCAAUAUUACAUUUACUAAAAAUUCCAGUUCUAUAAUGUGUCAAAGCUGUCUAGAAGGUAAAUUCUGCAAACUUCCUUUUUCACCAAGUGUCAAUAAAUUUGUCAUUCCUUUUGAAGUGGUGCACAGUGAUCUUUGGGGUCCUGCACCUUGUGUAUCUAUGGAUGGAUAUAGGUAUUAUGUUACCUUUAUUGAUGAAUGUACCAGGUAUUCUUGGAUCUUCAUUUUGAUCAAUAAAUCAGAUCUUUGUGUUACUUUUAUUGGUUUCUAGCUUAUGUUCUUACUCAAUUUUAUGCAACAAUAAGAAUAUUGCAAAGUGAUGGUAAUGGUGAGUACAUAAGUAAAUCCCUUCAGUCAUUUCUUCUACAAAAAGGCAUCUCACAUAAAAAAUCCUGCCCUUACACUCCAAAACAAAAUGGCAUGGCUGAACGAGAACACAGACAUUUCAUUGAAACCUCAGUUACACUACUCCAAACAGCUCAAACGCCUCCUAAGUUUUGGUCUUUAACAUGUCAAACAGCCAUUUACCUUAUUAAUAGGAUGCAUACUCCUAUUUUAUCCAAUAAAUCUCCAUUUGAAGCCCUGUAUGGUGCAGUUCCAAUGAUUCAACAUUUAAGAACUUUUGGAUGUGCUUGUUACCCUCUUCUCAGACCAUAUAACACUACCAAAGUUCAACCCAAGACAACAAAAUGUAUAUUUUUGGGUUAUGCAUCCAAAUAUAAAAGGUUCAUUUGUUAUGCAGUUUCUCAGCACAAGUCUUUAUUUCUAGGCAUGUUGUGUUCAGUCAACAGGAAUUCCAUUAGAAAGAUUUAUUGGCAUAUACCAAUCCCACAUCAUCAUGUUCUGUGAAUUUUGAUGUUCAACCUUCUCCCCCUAAAGUUACAUCCCAGAAUGUAGUCACUAUACUACCCCAAGACACUAAUACAAAUUCAAUACCUUCUUCACUGUCUCAUUCUCCAAGUCAUACUUAGUCAUCAUUCCACUCAUCAUAUGUUGCAUUGUGUCCACACAUAUCUCCAUCAGCAUCACUAUUCUUAGAUACACAGCAGCCUGCUCAGUCCAUUACUAGUGCAAUUUAUGAUAAUCAUAUCCUUGUGGUACUUGACCAUAGUCCUGAUACACUUCAAGUGGUUCAUUCCAUAUCACCACUCAAUCUUCAUCCUAUGCAGACUAGAAGUAAGAGUGGUAUCAGUAAGAAAAAGGUGUUUUUGUCCACACUUGCUGCUUCUAAGUAUGUUGAUCUGUCUCUCUGUGAACCCUCAACAUACAAAUCAGCUCUUAAGAGUUCAGUUUGGUUUCAAGCCAUGCAAGAGGAAAUUAGUGCAUUACAUGUCAAGGUAUAUGGAGUUUGGUUCCAUUACUAGUUAAUAAGAACCUAGUGGGGUGCAAAUGGGUCUUCAAAAUAAAGAGACAUUCAGAUGGGUCAAUAUCAAAGCAUAAAGACAAAGUGGUUGCUAAAGGAUUCAGUCAAGAACCUGUUAUUGAUUAUAAUGACACUUUUAGUUUUGUUGUUAAACCCACCACAGUGAGGAUUGUUCUAACACUUGUUGCACAUGUCCCUUAGGUAACUUGAUGUCAAGAGGCCUUCCUACAUGGCAUUCUCCAAGAGGAAGUGUUCAUGGCUCAACCACCUAGCUUUGAAGAUCCACAUAAUCCCUUAUUAGUGUGACUUAGGUCUUCUUCACUUCUUUUUGGGGAUUCAGAUUUCUAAGACUACCAAUGGCUUGUUUCUGUCACAACAAAAGUUACUAAAGGAUGAUGGUGAGCUCUAUUCUAAUCCAACAUUAUAUAGAAGUGUGGUUGGUGCCU